rnacentral:rRNA from 1 species
UACAGAGGUCUCAAGCGUUGUUCGGAUUCAUUGGGCGUAAAGGGUGCGUAGGCGGCGCGGUAAGUCGGGUGUGAAAUCUCGGAGCUUAACUCCAAGCUUGCGGUCGAUACGGGCAGACUUGAGUUCGGCAGGGGAGACUGGAAUUCCUGGUGUAGCGGUGAAAUGCGCAGAUAUCAGGAGGAACACCGGUGGCGAAGGCGGCAUCCUGGACCAACACUGACGCUGAUGAGCGAAAGCCAGGGGAGCAAACGGG